rnacentral:SRP_RNA from 1 species
GCCAGGCAUGGUGGUGCAUGCCUGUAAUCCCAGCUACUUGGGAGGCUGAGGCAGGAGAAUCACUUGAACCCGGGAGGUGAAGGUUGCAGUGAGUCGAGAUCACGACAUUGCACUCUAGCCUGGGUGAGAGAGUGAGACUCUGUCUCAA